rnacentral:tmRNA from 1 species
GGGGGUGUCCUGGUUUCGACAGGGAUAAAGGGGAUUGCUGAUGCAUGCCGAGGAGAUCACCUUCUCGUUAAUCACGGUGGUAAUCAAAUAUAAAAGCAAACGAUAACUUUGCAUUAGCUGCCUAAGCGCAGCUACGGUCCUGUAUAGCUUUGCUGUUAGGCUUGCAGAUAACCGUCAUAAAUAAUGGCUAUAGACGGCAAACGCCUGUAAUGUCGUCCGAACUUUUUCAGGCUGGCUCGAUUGCGUGGUUUGACUGCUUUCCUGUAUGAGAGUGAGACUAAAAAACAGCUAAGCAUGUAGAUUCGGCUUUUGACUUAUCUUUGGACGCGGGUUCGAUUCCCGCCACCUCCACCA